UUGCCCUUUUUCUGUGUCCCAGGAGUUAAUUUUACUUUGAACCUAAAGACAAAACAGAGCAGAUUUUCUUAACUCGUUUCACAUUAUUCUGCUAUUUUUACUAAACAGGGUUAUGUUUUUAUUGCUUUUGUGGAUUGGUAGAUUGGUGGAUCGGUAGGUUGUGCGUCGGUGGAUCAGUAGAUCGGCAGGUUGUGCGCCUGUGGAUCGGCAGGUCGGCAGGUUGUGCGCCUGUGGAUCGGUAGGUUGUGCGUCGGUGGAUCGGAAGGUUGUAUGACGGUAGGUUUGUGGAUCGGUAGGUUGUGCGUCUGUGGAUCAGUAGGUUGUAUGACGGUAGGUUUGUGGAUCGGUAGGUUGUGCGUCGGUGGAUCGGUAGGUUGUGCGCCGGUGGAUCGGUAGGUUGUGCGCCUGUGGAUCGGUAGGUUGUAUGUCGGUAAGUUUGUGGAUCGGUAGGUUGUGUGUCUGUGGAUCGGUAGGUUGUGCGCCUGUGGAUCAGUAGGUUGUAUGACGGUAGGUUUGUGGAUCGGUAGGUUGUGCGUCGGUGGAUCGGUAGGUUGUGCGCCGGUGGAUCGGUAGGUUGUGCGCCUGUGGAUCGGUAGGUUGUAUGUCGGUAAGUUUGUGGAUCGGUAGGUUGUGUGUCUGUGGAUCGGUAGGUUGUGUGUCUGUGGAUCGGUAGGUUGUAUGUCGGUAGGUUUGUGGAUCGGUAGGUUGUGCGUCUGUGGAUCGGUAGGUUGUAUGACGGUAGGUUUGUGGAUCGGUAGGUUGUGCGUCGGUGGAUCGGUAGGUUGUGCGUCGGUGGAUCGGUAGGUUGUGCGUCUGUGGAUCGGUAGGUUGUAUGACGGUAGGUUUGUGGAUCGGUAGGUUGUGCGUCUGUGGAUCGGUAGGUUGUAUGACGGUAGGUUUGUGGAUCGGUAGGUUGUGCGUCGGUGGAUCGGUAGGUUGUGCGUCUGUGGAUCGGUAGGUUUGUGGAUCGGUAGGUUGUGCGUCUGUGGAUCGGUAGGUUUGUGGAUCGGUAGGUUGUGCGUCUGUGGAUCGGUAGGUUUGUGGAUCGGUAGGUUGUGCGUCUGUGGAUCGGUAGGUUGUGUGUCGGUGGAUCGGUAGGUUGCGUGUUUGUGUAUGUUCUUGGUCUGAUCACAAUCAAAGAGUUAAAUGGGUGUAAAAUGUACUUGUAGUUGGACAGCGCCAUGUACGGAGCACACACUGGCACUGCGAACA